GACGAACGCUGGCGGCGUGCCUAAUACAUGCAAGUCGAGCGAAGCGGCGGAGGGGUGAGUAACGCGUGGGUAACCUGCUAUUAAGUCUGGGCUAACAUUUGGAAACAGAUGCCAAUACCGGAUAAUAUAGGAUAGACCUGCGAUUCAUUAGCUAGGUGGUAAGAUAACGGCUUACAAAGGCGAUGAUGCAUAGCCGAUUUGAGAGACUGAUCUGCCACAUUGGGACUGGGACACGGCCCAAACUCCUACGGGCGGCAGCAGUAGUGAAACUUCCACAAUUGACGAAAGUCUGAUGGAGCAACGCCGCGUGAGUGAAGAAGGUUUUCGGAUCGUAAAGCUCUGUUGUUGGUGAAGCGGUAAUCAACCAGAAAGUCACGGCUAACUACGUGCCAGCAGCCGCGGUAAUAC
rnacentral:rRNA from 1 species